AGUGAACGCUGGCGGUAGGCCUAACACAUGCAAGUCGAACGGCAGCACAGAGGAGCUUGCUCCUUGGGUGGCGAGUGGCGGACGGGUGAGGAAUACAUCGGAAUCUACUCUGUCGUGGGGGAUAACGUAGGGAAACUUACGCUAAUACCGCAUACGACCUACGGGUGAAAGCAGGGGACCUUCGGGCCUUGCGCGAUUGAAUGAGCCGAUGUCGGAUUAGCUAGUUGGCGGGGUAAAGGCCCACCAAGGCGACGGUCCGUAGCUGGUCUGAGAGGAUGAUCGGCCACACUGGAACUGGGACACGGUCCAGACUCCUACGGGAAGCAGCAGUGGGGAAUAUUGGACAAUGGGCGCAAGCCUGAUCCAGCCAUACCGCGUGGGUGAAGAAGGCCUUCGGGUUGUAAAGCCCUUUUGUUGGGAAAGAAAUCCAGCUGGCUAAUACCCGGUUGGGAUGACGGUACCCAAAGAAUGAGCACCGGCUAACUUCGUGCCAGCCGCCGCCGUAA
rnacentral:rRNA from 1 species